UCCAAUGUCUGUAGACAUCAAUUUUGCCCAGC
rnacentral:piRNA from 1 species